rnacentral:rRNA from 1 species
UAGCCGUAAACGAUACUCGCUAGGUGUCGGCCACGGUGCGACCGUUGUCGGUGCCGUAGGGAAGCCGUGAAGCGAGCCACCUGGGAAGUACGGCCGCAAGGCUGAAACUUAAAGGAAUUGGCGGGGGAGGCACAACAACGGGUGGAGCUUGCGGUUUAAUUUGGAUUCAACGCCGGAAAUCUUACCGGGACCGACAGCAACAUGAAGGCCAAGCUGAAGACUUUGCCGGAUUAGCUGAGAGGAGGUGCAUGGCGUAGUCGUGU